rnacentral:lncRNA from 10 species
GGGCAGGCUUAGAAAAGGGAGAAUCUGCUGCCAGAGAGGCCAGAUGCCAUGAGUCCAAAGGAAUCAUCCCGCCCCCAGCAGACAAGCGUGGAGCCAGCCUGCUCCUCUGGCCAAAGCAUUCCACCCCCGGACCUCUCCUCCAGGAAGAAGAGAUGUGGAAGAAGAGAUGUGGGUAUGGUGGAUUCUGACCCUUGGCUCCCCAAAGUUCCACAGAGCCCAGCUCCCACUGAAGGCAUAUGACCCAGAUCCUGAGAACCAGAUGCACCGGCCUGAGCUUUCGUCAGAAGCAAGGACACACAGAACCUUUCUUAGAGGCAUCAUUAGAGGACCGGACAUGGUGGCCAGAGGCUGCAGGGACAGAAGUCCCAGGGCCAUGUCCAGGAACUGGGCUCAGGGGACCUCCUGGUGCCACCUGCAUAUCUGAGCCCAUGGAGUUCCUCUGGUCUAUUCAGUUCUCUCAUUUUAACUUAAUUUUGUUUUUGUAGGCUUUCUUAAAAAAUUGCCCAGUUCAUUUACCUGAUCACGUUUAUUGUUCAGAGUGCCAUUGACCUUUAGAUGGGCUGUACGGUGUGGGGUUCGGUGCCAUGGAUCUGCUUCUCCAGGGACCAGGAUCUUGAGAUCUUCAGGCUGGGUUUCCAUGGAGGCAUGGAGCUGCUUUUCCUCCUUCAUAACUGCACUCAAAACAGCCCUGUUGCUCUAGAAUGGAGACUUGGGCAACUCCUUCUGGCACAGAUUUGUUCACCUCAGGUGAAAUUCAGAUAGAAGCAAGCUGCAGGCAGUUUCACCUCUAAGUCCAUGGGUUCUCAACUGGUAACGUCCUCUUAUGGAUGUUAGCCCAUGAGGUCAAUCCUGUAGCAAUCUAAGGCUUGAGAAAAAUUAAUCUUCUGGAAAAUUCCAAGAAUACAUCUUAGGGAAACUGGCUCUACCUUUAUGACUUGGAUCACACAAGGAUAUGCUUUUCAUCUUGGACUAGAACUGAGAGCCAAUGGAUGUGUUAUCUAAAACUAUCCCAGUGUGUUCACUAUACAGAGGAAGAUUCUGAGAUUCAAGACUCAAGACUGAAGAAGAUCAUUAUUUUUAUUAUUUUAGUCUUAUGCACAAAAUGAUAUCUACUGAAUAAGCAGGUUUUUAAUAGGUGACUUAUAUAUGUUAGCAAAAAUAAACACUUUGUCUUUUAGAUCUAUUCUAGUUUUUCAGUAGCUGUAGACUUAAGUGCUAACUUUUAGCCCAUAGGAUAAGAAGAAACCAAGUCCUAAAAGUAGGCCAGCACCAGGGUUCAGGCCUCUGACUUCAAGCCAAGGGCUCAUCAUCUUGAAUUGCGCACGAAUUUUUACACAGCGCCAAAGGAAACUGCCUGUACUUACUGUUGUAGGUGCUUUGCUGGAUUCAGGAUGCAGACAAGGUCCACGCAUUGUGGUUGGAACAAUGACUAGAUCUUUACCUGGUCCACAGCCCUCCCCAGUCUGGCUGCAACCUCUCAUGAGGCUGAGCUCACCAUGAACCCCUGCUCUAGGCGUCUGCAUAGUGUUCUGUUUGUCCCCGUGACUGUCCACCUCUUCUUUGGCCUGUUGGCAUGCGCUUAUCCUCCAGACCUCAGUCCAAAGUUCAGUCCCGGAGCAGACACAACCCUGUUUGCAGAGAGCCAACAUUCUAAUUGACAGUGCGUGGUGGGAAACAGUGAACCGAGGGAAAGAGUGCCAGUGUUAGAGAGCCACAGUGCAGUGAAGAAGAGAAGGCAAGAGGAUGUGAUGCAAAAUCACAGGACCUGGCUUCCAGACCAUUCUGCUUCCAUGAGAACAUUUCAGUUGAGAACCGGAUGGCAUGAAACUUUAUUGAAGUAUCAGAGAAUCAUUUUCUUAAGAGAUGGUAAUGGAAUCCAUGCAUUUGAAAUAAAUCAACAGAAAAAAAUGAUUCAGAAGAGAGGGAACUAGCCUAAGGACAACUGUGAUAUUGUGAAAUAUAUAUAUGGGUCUUCAUCCUGUGUCCUGGCAUACCUAAAACCCUUGGAAUAUCCAAAGGCAUGCUUUUCAUGUGCAAAUGAUUGACUGAUGUCUUCAGGAUGGAGCCAAUCACCAGAAAUGUCAAAGCAUAAUUAGAGUGUUGGGACUUUCAGCCAUACCCCACACCCCUGACCUUUGGGGAGGAGAGACGGGCAGAAGGUUAAGUCCAUCAACAAUGGCCAGUGAUGUAAUCAGUCAUGCCUAUGUAAUGAAGCUUCCAUAAAAAUCCCAAAGGACUGGGUCUGGAGAGCUUCUGGAUAUCUGAGCACAUGGAGGUUCCUGGAGGGUGGUGCCUGGGGCAGUCAUGGAAGCAUCUCAUCCCUUCCCACAUGCCUUGCCCUAUGCAUCUCUUCAUCUGUAUCCUUUAAAAUAUCUUUGUAAUAAACUGCUA